UGCGUAGGUGGUUUCUUAAGUCAGAGGUGAAAGGCUACGGCUCAACCGUAGUAAGCCUUUGAAACUGGGAAACUUGAGUGCAGGAGAGGAGAGUGGAAUUCCUAGUGUAGCGGUGAAAUGCGUAGAUAUUAGGAGGAACACCAGUUGCGAAGGCGGCUCUCUGGUCUGUAACUGACGCUGAGGCUCGAAAGCGUGGGGAGCAAACA
rnacentral:rRNA from 1 species